CCGGGUACAACGGGGUGCGACACGGUGACGUGGGGCGGAUCCCUGAAAACCGGUCUCAGUUCGGAUCGCAGUCUGCAACUCGACUGCGUGAAGGUGGAGUCGCUAGUAAUCGCGGAUCAGCAACGCCGCGGUGAAUGCGUUCCCGGGCCUUGUACACACCGCCCGUCAAGUCAUGAAAGUGGGCAGCACCCGAAGACGGUGGCCUAACCCUUGUGGGGGGAGCCGUCUAAGGUGAGGCUCGUGAUUGGGACUAAGUCGUAACAAGGUAUC
rnacentral:rRNA from 1 species